UACGUAGGUGGCAAGCGUUGUCCGGAUUUAUUGGGCGUAAAGAGCGUGUAGGCGGUUUGGUAGGUCCGUUGUGAAAACUCGAGGCUCAACCUCGAGACGCCGAUGGAAACCAUCAGACUAGAGUCCGGAAGAGGAGAGUGGAAUUCCUGGUGUAGCGGUGAAAUUCGUAGAUAUUAGGAAGAACACCGGUGGCGAAGGCGGCUCACUGGUCCGGUACUGACACUGAGGUGCGAAAGCGUGGGGAGCAAACAGG
rnacentral:rRNA from 1 species